rnacentral:rRNA from 1 species
CCUACGGGCGGCAGCAGUGAGGAAUAUUGGUCAAUGGGCGAGAGCCUGAACCAGCCAAGUCGCGUGAAGGAUGACGGCCCUACGGGUUGUAAACUUCUUUUGUCAGGGAGCAAAUGAGUCCACGUGUGGGCUGAGCGAGAGUACCUGAAGAAAAAGCAGCGGCUCACUCCGUGCCAGCAGCCGCGGUAAAACGGAGGAUGCGAGCGUUAGCCUGAUUUAUUGGGGUUAAAGGGUGCGUAGGCGGAAUAUCAAGUCAGCGGGAAAAAUUCGGGGCGAAACCCCGUCGUGCCGUUGAAACUGAUGUUCUUGAGUGGGCGUGAAGUAUGCGGAAUGCGUGGUGUAGCGGUGACCUGCAUAGAUAUCACGCAGAACUCCGAUUGCGAAGGCAGCAUCCCGGCGCCCAACUGACGCUGAUGCACU